AGGGCUUCGCAAGGCGGUUUUUUAAGUCUGAAUGUGAAAAGCCCCCGGCUCAACCGGGGAAGGGUCAUUGGAAACUGGGGAACUUGAGUGCAGAAGAGGAGAGUGGAAUUCCACGUGUAGCGGUGAAAUGCGUAGAGAUGUGGAGGAACACCAGUGGCGAAGGCGACUCUCUGGUCUGUAACUGACGCUGAGGAGCGAAAGCGUGGGGAGCGAACAGGAUUAGAUACCCUGGUAGUCCACGCCGUAAACGAUGAGUGCUAAGUGUUAGGGGGUUUCCGCCCCUUAGUGCUGCAGCUAACGCAUUAAGCACUCCGCCUGGGGAGUACGGUCGCAAGACUGAAACUCAAAGGAAUUGACGGGGGCCCGCACAAGCGGUGGAGCAUGUGGUUUAAUUCGAAGCAACGCGAAGAACCUUACCAGGUCUUGACAUCCUCUGACAAUCCUAGAGAUAGGACGUCCCCUUCGGGGGCAGAGUGACAGGUGGUGCAUGGUUGUCGUCAGCUCGUGUCGUGAGAUGUUGGGUUAAGUCCCGCAACGAGCGCAACCCUUGAUCUUAGUUGCCAGCAUUCAGUUGGGCACUCUAAGGUGACUGCCGGUGACAAACCGGAGGA
rnacentral:rRNA from 1 species